rnacentral:rRNA from 1 species
AUUGAACGCUGGCGGUAUGCUUAAGACAUGCAAGUCGUGCGGUAGAAGGCUUCGGCCUUUGAGAGCGGCGGACGGGUGCGUAACGCGUAUGCAACAUGCCUUCCAGCGGGGGAUAUACCAGGGAAACUUGGCGCAAUACCCCAUAGAAUUACGGGACCGCAUGGUCUUGUGAUUAAAACUCCGGUGCUGGGAGAUUGGCAUGCGUGACAUUAGCUAGUUGGCGGGGUAACGGCCCACCAAGGCGACGAUGUCUAGCUGGUCUGAGAGGAUGAUCAGCCACACUGGGACUGAGACACGGCCCAGACUCCUACGGGAGGCAGCAGUAGGGAAUAUUGGACAAUGGGGGGAACCCUGAUCCAGCCAUGCCGCGUGAGGGAAGAAGGUCCUCUGGAUUGUAAACCUCUUUUGGCAGGAACAAACCUGCGCUAUACGCGCAGCUGAGGGUACCUGCAGAAUAAGCACCGGCUAACUCCGUGCCAGCAG